rnacentral:tRNA from 1 species
GGAAACUUGUUAGAGUGGUUUAAUAUAAUCGUCUUGAAAACGAUUGCUGGAUGACCUUCAGCCGUGGGUUCGAAUCCCACAGUUUCCG